GAUGAACGCUGGCGGCGUGCCUAAUACAUGCAAGUAGAACGCUGAAGGAAGGAGCUUGCUCUUUCCGGAUGAGUUGCGAACGGGUGAGUAACGCGUAGGUAACCUGCCUGGUAGCGGGGGAUAACUAUUGGAAACGAUAUCUAAUACCGCAUAACAGUAGAUGUUGCAUGAUAUCUACUUAAAAGGUGCAAUUGCACCACUACCAGAUGGACCUGCGUUUUAUUAGCUAGUUGGUGAGGUAACGGCUCACCAAGGCGACGAUACAUAGCCGACCUGAGAGGGUGAUCGGGCAAAAUGGGAAUGAGACAAGGCCCAGACUACUACGGGAGGCAGCAGUAGGGAAACAUCGGAAAUGGACGGAAGUCUGAACGAGCAACGACGAGUGAGUGAAGAAGGUUUUCGGAUCGUAAAGCUCUGUUGUAAGAGAAGAAAGAGUGUGAGAGUGGAAAGUUCACACUGUGACGGUAUCUUACCAGAAAGGGACGGCUAACUACGUG
rnacentral:rRNA from 1 species